UCACGAUGUCACAUUUGUCUUCUAGCGCCAUCAAAUGGAACUUCACCAAGUUCCUCGUGGACAAGGACGGCUGCGUGGUGAAGCGGUACGGCCCCAUGGAAGAACCCCUGGUGAUCGAGAAGGACUUGCCCUGCUAUCUCUAGCUCCACAAGCGUGCCCCCCGCCCCAGCCCUUGCCCCUGCCCCUUGGAGCCUUCCACCCGGCACCCAUGACGGUCUACCUGAAAACCAGCCCGCUGGUGGGGCAGACCUGAGAACCCGGCGUGCACCCCCUGCUGGAGGAAGGCUCCUCGGCCUGGCGUGUGGCUUGGCACCCCCCCACCCCUGGUUAUCCUGUGGGAAUAAAACAUACAAUGGGCCUGCA